rnacentral:rRNA from 1 species
CACUGGUGAAGUUUGAUCAUGGCUCAGAUUGAACGCUGGCGGCGAGCCUAACACAUACAGUCGAACGGUAACAGGAAGCAGCUUGCUGCACAGCGACGAAGGUAGCGAGACGGGUGAUAUGUCUGGGAAACGCACCUGAUGGAGGGAUAACUACUGGAAACGGUGGCUAAUACCGCAUAACGUCGCAAGACCAAGAGGGGACCUUCGGGCCUCUUGCCAUCAGAUGUGCCCAGAACAGGUUACGCUUGUUGGUGGUAACGGCUCACCGAAGGCGGCAAUCUAGCUGGUCUGAAGGAUGACCAGCCACACUGGAACUGAACGGUCCCGGAACCACGGGAGGCAGCAGUGGGAAAUAUUGCACAAUGGGCGCAAGCCUGAUGCAGCCAUGCCGCGUGUAUGAAAGAAGACGCUUCGGGUUGUAAAGUACUUUCAGCGGGGAGGAAGGUGUUGGCGUAGUUGUAACGCAGCAAUUGGCAUUACCACCGAAAAAAGCUUUUCAGCUUAACUCCGUGCCAGCAGCGCGAAAGUAGCACGGAGGUGCAAGCAUUAUCGGGGAAGUACUGGGCGUAAAGCGCACGCGAGCGGUCUGUCCAAGUCCGGAUGGCAAUCCCGGAGCUCAACACAGGAACUUGCAUUUCAAAGCAGCGAGCAGGUCUUUAUAUGAGGGGUAGAAUUCCGGGUAGCCCAGCGGUGAAAUGCGUAGGAAUCUGGAGAAUACCGGUGGCGAAGGCGGCCCACGGACAAGGCGACGCUCAGGUGCAGCGUGAGGCAAACAGGAUUACCGUACAUUUAGUCACGCCAUGGCGGAAAUGUCACCAGAGGGGAUUUGUGCCCGCGAGGGGCGUGGCUUCACGGAGCUAACGCGUUAAGUAGACCGCACGGGGAGUACGGCCGCAAGGUUAAACUCAAAUAAUUGACGGGGGCCACACGAAGCGGUGAGCAUGUGGUUUGAAUUCGAUAAACGCGAAGAACCUUACGGUCUUAUCCACGGAAGAAUCCAGAGAUGAAUUUAUUGCCUUCGGGAACAGAAGACUUGAGUGCUGCAUGGCUGUCGUCAGCUCGUGUUGUGAAAUGUUGAGGUUAAGUCCGCAACGAGGCGCAACCCUUAUCCUUUGUUGCCAGCGGUCCCGGCCGGGAACUCAAAGGGAGACUGCCAGUAGGUAAACUGGAGGAAGGUGGGGAUGACGUCAGAAUCAUCAUGGCCUCCCGACCGAGGGGCUACACACGUGCUUACAAUGGCGCAUACAAAGAGAAGCGACCUCGCGAGAGCAAGCGGACCUCAUAAAAGUGCGUCGUAGUCAGUUGAGUCUCUGCCAGCUCGACUCGCGGAAUGAAUAGCUGGCAAACAAAUGGAUCAGGUACCACGGUGAUACGUUCCCGGAGCCCAGCACGCACCGCCCGUCACCAUGGGAGUGGGUUGCAAAAGUAGGUAGCAACGCUUCGGGAGGGCGCUUACCACUUUGUGAUUCGCCUUGACUGGGGUGAAGUCGUAACAAGGUAACAAUAGGGGAACCUGCGGUUGGAUCACCUCACUA